rnacentral:lncRNA from 1 species
AGAAUACAGGAAACUUAGGCAAAUUGUUGCACCACAUGGAUAUGAGAAAUAAUGAAUAUUAUUUACUCGGAUUCAGGAAACAUAUAUCCAAGCUGAGCAAUUUAGGACACUUCACUGAAGAGACAGAGACAUGAGGUGUACAUUCAACUGAAGUGUCACUGUAAUUGUGUACCUUCUCAGUUACUGGGCAAGUUAAUGAACAUGAUGAAUGUUUGCAGUAUAAUGGUGUAAAUCAUUUGGAUAUCUUGCAUAAAAGACAAGUGGGUGCAUGUGCCACCUGCUUUGAGAUUUUCCCAGGUGAUUGAGUUUCCCCUCUGAUUUUUGAUCACAUUUGUCGUGAUCACUUGGGAUACCCUUUUUGAUAUUGACACUAAUUUAUUUUCUUUUAGAUAUACGAGAAAUCAUAUUAUGUUUGAAAUAGUUAGGAAUAUAUCGUGACACAUCAAUGCCUGUUUUCUUUAGUAUAUUUCUGUCAUGCUCCUGGCUUAAGACAUAAAGUAGAAAACAUCAAAGCCUACACUAAUACAGGCAGGCGGAUACAGCUUGAUGCUAACACCGCAUGAAUGUAUGGAAAACUUUAUCAUAUUUACAUAUGAGUGAUUAUCCCUUUUGCUUUUCAGUGUCUUCUCAGAAACAACCAGCCUUGAAGGUAAUUAAACUUUCAUUUAUAUUGUGAACAAGUAAAUCUAUAGUCUAUGAAACAUGCUUCAUUUAUUUAUUUAUUUAUUAUUUUCUUUCAAAUUCCAUUCAGGCUACAACUGACGAGGAAGAUUCUGUUUCGAAUAUAGCCACAGAAAUAAAGGAUGGAGAAAAAUCUGGGACAGUGUCUUCUCAGAAACAACCAGCCUUGAAGGCUACAAGUGAUGAGAAAGAUUCUUUUUCAAAUAUAACCAGAGAAAGAAAGGAUGGAGAAAUAUCUAGGACAGGUAACUUUGCGAAACACAUUUAAUGUCAUGUUCAGUCCAGAUAAGAAGUUCUCUUCCCCGAAUAAAUCAGUGGGGGGCUGGUCGAAACUGCACAUUCUGAUUCAGUAGGCCUGAGAUUCUUCAUUUCUAAUAAGUUCUUGGGUUAUGCUGAUGCUGCUGGUCUGGAACAUGAUCUUCGCUGU